rnacentral:rRNA from 1 species
AUGUUGCGUGAGAGGGCUGGUCUUAGUGACAGUGUUUAUGUUUCCGUGGAAGAAAAGGUGGCAAUGUUCUUGUUGGUAGUUGGCCAUGGUAUCAAAAUGAGGAUUCUGGGUGGCACUUACAAGCGCUCCUUAUGGACUAUUAGUACACACUUGGACGAUGUAUUAACAGCGAUUCUAUCUCUAACCGGGGAGUUCAUUAAGCUUCCCAAUCCUUCUACUCAGCCACCUGAUGAUUACAAAUGGAAGUGGUUUGGUAAUGCACUUGGAGCGCUCGAUGGGUGUCAUGUUGAUGUUUGUGUGCCCGUGUGUGACCAAGGGAGAUAUAGGAACAGGAAGCAAGCUAUCACCACUAACAUGCUUGGUGUGGUUGAUUGGAAUAUGAAAUUUAUGUAUGUCUUGCCUGGCUGGGAGGGUUCAGCUUCUGACUCAAGAGUCUUGCGUGAUGCAAUGAGGUUGAGCCGCCAAGAUGCAUUUGUCGUACCACAUGGGAAAUAUUAUUUAGUUGAUGCUGGUUACACCAACGGUCCUGGAUUUCUUGCUCCAUUGAGAUCGACUCGAUAUCACUUAAAAGAGUGGGUAUCAAGUCAACAACAGCCCCAAACUCCCAAAGAGCUGUAUAACUUGCGUCAUUCCCGAGCUAGAAAUGUAGUCGAGAGAACAUUUGGGUUGUGGAAGAAAAAGUGGGCUUUCCUACGUUGUCAAUCUUUCUUUGACAUAAAGGACCAGGUUCGAAUUAUUAAUGCUUGUUGUGUGUUACACAACUUUGCAAGGGAUACGCAGCAUGUGAUGGAUGAUUGUUGCUGGCGGAAGUGGAUAAUGAAAUAG